rnacentral:rRNA from 1 species
AGUGUAGGUGGUUUGGCAAGUUGGUAGCGUAAUUCCGGGGCUCAACUUCGGAACUACUACCAAAACUGCCGGGCUUGAGUGCAGGAGGGGCAUAUGGAAUUCCUAGUGUAGCGGUGGAAUGCGUAGAUAUUAGGAGGAACACCAGUGGCGAAGGCGAUAUGCUGGACUGUAACUGACACUGAGGCACGAAAGCGUGGGGAGCAAACA